rnacentral:lncRNA from 10 species
CACUUUUAGACACAAUCUGUUCUGGGUCAAUAUUUGUUUCACCUUGGCAAAGCUUCCUAUACAAACCUGUGAUCAUAUGCCUUUGUUUUCUCACUUCAGGUACAAGAGAGGUGAGCACAAGAUGGGCCAAAUAUGAGAUGUGGAAUCAGGAAAAACAGAAAAAGUGGAAGAAAUGGCAAACGUGGACGUGAGAGCAGCUGGGUUUUCUAGCUCUGGGCGUCUGCAGGAAUCAUGUUCCAGGAAGGGCUGGGAGAGGCUGCGGGGAAAAGGAAGGGGUGCAGGGGAGUGUGCCCCACCCUUGCCCUGUGCCUGCAGGUGGGCCGGACUUGGACCCUGCCUGGAUGAUCUGCGAAGAAAUAGGGUUCCAAAAGGGCAGAUCCCAAGACAAUGCCUUAUAAAGGUCCUGGCUAACGUUUCCAUGGCAGCUUGCUGAGUGGCCGAGCUGAUCUCAGCCCUUCCAGGGGUGACUCAUUGACUCCUCCCAAGCUGGAGAGGUGAGAGUUCUUUUCCGGUUUACAUAUCAGGAAGCUGAGGCAUGGAAAGGUAGCUGGAGACCACCCUGGCUGAGCUGUGAUCAGUCGCAUCUAGACUAGUUUGGUGUUUCAGAGCAAGUCUCUCAAAUGCCCUGUGCCUCAAUGCUCUCAUCUGCACGUUGGAAGAAAGAAUUCCUGCUUCCCAGAGCCGUUGGGAGGAGUAACAGAGGUGAAGUGUGUAAAGUACACACGAAAGGAACUCAGCUGACAGCAGCAUCUUCACUGGAUCUUGCUCUAUCACCUGGGCUGGAGUGCAGUGGCAUGAUCGCGGCUCACUGAAGCCUCAUCCUCCUGGGCUCAGGAGUUUUAAAAAUUCACUUGAAGGUAAUGGACUGAGAUUGCUUCUGUCCCAAGGACCAGCGGGAUCCUGGCGAGGUGUGGGGUUCCAAGUUCCAGUUGCCACAGUAUCAAAGUCUUAGCCAUCUCCUCAUUUCCAGAUCUUUUUCUAAUAAAAGCACUGUUUAAAUGUCUCA